rnacentral:lncRNA from 1 species
UUGAUGGAGGAACCAGGAAGAGUUGGUCAGUUGGUGCUCUGGUGCUAUCAAGAGCUGCCCUCUUCCACAAUAUGACAUGGCUGUUAUUUAAGACCUCUCUGUUUUGAAUGCAUUCUUCUCUUUAUCUUGCAGUAUCUUUUCUAUUGAGGCGAUGAUGAAACCUCUUUUCGGCUUCUCUCUCCUAUUUUCCUUUCGCAACAGUGCAUGGUAGUUGGGGC